UAUAUAUAUUCACGCAGACAUAUAUAUAUAUAUACAUAUAUCUAGAAAGAUAAAUAAAAUAUAGGGUGUUUCUAAGAGAUACAUAUGUAAUCAUAUUUUUAGAAUAAACCAAUAUUUUACGUGUAUAUGAUUUAAUACUGUAAAAUAAAAAAUAAAGUUCCCCGUCUCUGCAUGGGUUCUCUCUGGAUAUCCCUCUUCCCGCAGUCGGGGUUUAGGUUACUUGAUGAUGAUGAAGAUUGCCCAUAGGUGUAUAAAUGUGAGAAUAAUUCUCUGUCAGCUCUGAUUGACUGACGACCGUCUCUUGCCCGAUGCUGGUUGAUUGACUUUUAGAAUAUUGAUGAUGCAUCCUUAUUCAAACUUACACAUUCUUUUAUUUUAUACCCUGUUAUUACAUUAACUUUGCAUAUUGGCCAGGAUGGAAUCUAUGUUCAUAAUAUUAUAGACACACUUCAAGUAAUUAUUUUUAAUUUACUUCUUAAUUUGAAUUAAUUGUCUAAUGAAUCUUUCCCUCAGAAUAUGCUUGUCAAUAUAUACAAAUGAAGAUAAAAUGAGACCAAAUUUGGGGGGGGGAAAUGGGACAAUUAACAUGUUGUCGGUUUUAACCACCAGGUGGCGGAUUAGGAGCAUUUUCAGACCCAAUCAAGAUCAAUUUAUUAAACAUUCUUCAUUUAUACAGUAAAUAAAAGGGCCAUGAAAUAGACUAAAGGUAACUCAACAAGUGAAAGUAAUGAAUUUGAAACCUUGUAUAGAAAAACAAUGUCUGAAAGACUCAACGUGUAAUUAAUGACAUAUCAUAACCGUCGAUAGUUUAAGACAGAAACAAUUAAAAAAAACUGUAUAUAUCAAUAUUUUGUCCAAUUACUAAAUUCUCUUCAAAUCUUCAAAAUUGAACUGUACUUAAUAUGUCCAAGUAUAUUUGGUCAUGCUGAUGAUGAAAUAAGAAAACAUAUGUUAUUCAUCUACACAAUAAAGUAAUAUACCAUCUCCUACUCUGUUCUGGAGCUUUCAAGUCAAUCACAUGGUUUUUAUCCAAAGAUGGAUAAAAAAUCAAUGCUUAAAAUGAACUAUGAUAUAAAGUAUAAAUACACGAUAAAAUAGCACAAUAUAUAUGAAGGAAAGUAUACAUGAGGAGGCAAAACAAUAAUAAAAGAUGAUGUGAACUAUUCACUGUGAUGAAUCACUUUGUUAGCUCUAUGCGUGGACAGUAGUACUGGUAGUACAUAUAUACAUGUAGUGGUAGUAGUCCUGGUAGUACAGCAGAGUACAGCAGGUGGAGCCACAGACCGCAUGUUAAACACCGAGAUCUUCGUCUGAUUCCGUUUCAGUUUGUAGAAAUAAAGAUAAAUUGAAACUGUACUAAAAAUAUGUUUCUAUACUUAGAAUGUGUAGUUUUACUUAUUUUAUGUUCAUAUGUUUGUUAAGGAUUAUUGUUUUAUUUAAUACUUUAUGUAAAUUUGAUGUUAAUGCCUCGCCAGACGCGUCGAUCUUUUUCACAUGAACAUUGGCAGAAAUGUACUUUUUUUAAACUGCAUAUAUGACAUUUGAGUUCAAGAUUUGUUCAGUUUAUUUUACUUAACCGUCACGAAAAAAUCAGGAGGAAUACUCUCAGUUCAUUGUGUUUAAGUAAAUCUGUCAAUUGAGUUCCCACUACGCACCGUUGAUAAAUUGCUAUAUUAAUACUUUUUAAAAUAUAGUAGAACAAUAAUAGAUGCAAUGUAAUUCAAACUGUGGCACAAUGAAAAAAUAAUUAAAUCACAUUAUUGCAUAAUCAGUAGAGAAGACAGAAAUGUUAAAAUAUCAAACUAAAGUCAAGAUGUUUAUAACAAAUCAACUUUUAUAAAAAGAUUAUAAGCAUAAUUCAAGGCUAGACGUUUUUAAUUAACAUUACCUUCCUGAUUUACAACACUACACAUUUCUUUGCUUUCCUCCUCCAUGCUGUUCUCAUAAAUACUGUGUGAACGUUAAAUUAAGAAUAUUAUUUUCAUUCUUCUUAACAUUUAAGAACAUUCUCCGAUGCUCGUUUUAUUUUCUUCUUCUUUAAAGAAGUAUACCUCAAAUAAAUUCACAAAAACACAGAGUUAUGAAUUUAAUCUUCAUAGCCAGUAGUUUUGGUCAAAGUGUGAUAUGAAUUGUGUUUAUUUUAAGUUCUCUUUUAGAUGUUUGUGAUGUAACUUCAUCAAACAAGCUAUUGUUGUGUAAAGUACAUAAAUACUUGGUAGAAUGAAGACAAACAUUUCCUCCCACCUGACCACAGGAAAUACAUUUCAAAUGUUUAAAGAUGUUGGGUUUACAGUAAAAUUCAUUCAUUUAUUUUUAUGUAAAUGACACAUGUUGCACCUGUGAGGUAAAUGGAACAUUACAGCCAGCAUGUUAAAAUCAAUUCAUAAACAGUAGUGAAUCUAUUGUGUUAAUUACAUGAGCUGUUUUCCAAAACUAUACAGUAUAAUUGGGCAUUCAAAAUCAAUAUAGAAUUCCCCAAAAUACAGCAAAAAUCAGUGAAAACAUGAAUCAUUCCGUCUACUUUCCUCUGAAUCUGAUUCUUGGUAUUAUUUGUACAAGUAUUGCUGACUUGUCGACAUGAAGCUAAUCAGUAAUUAGCUGCUUAAUCGUUAGCAUGUGGAGGAGCUGAUGCCACAGGAUCACCUGUAUUUAAACACCUGUGUGUGAGUGAGUCUGAUUCUGGAUCAUUUCAGGUCUCGGUGCCUUUUAGGGUUUCACAGGAUUAAGGAAAUGUAUCGACGAUGUCUAAUUCAUAGUUACUGAUUCUCAAGUAUGAUUAAUAUUUGAAGAGACAGAUAAAUGUGUGGCUGCACACCAGCUAACAACCUAAACUCUGUUAGCUUUUCAGUAUUACCUUCCACAUGUUUUUUUCUUUAUUUAUAAAAUCCAUAAAAACCUGAAUAACUUUCUCAGACUAAGUGUAGCUUAUAUAUUUUUGUAAAAUUCCAUAUUUAAAAGGUGGCCCGAACAUUUUUGGCAUCUUUUUUUAACUAAAAUGACGAAUAUGAUUAAUGGAUAAGCAAAAUGAUAAUUAUUUAAUUAAAUGUCAAUUGACUAAUCCGUUCAUUUAUUUAAUACUAUUAAUGACAUCUACAUAUACAAUACAUUAUAGUCAGCUAUAUCAUUUAUGACCAUAAAAGCAACCAAAUCAAAAUCUUAGGAUUGUGUGUUUAAUCAAAAUGUCUUUGUUUGACGUGUCUCACAUGUUGUACAUUUACUUGUAUUGUGUUUCUACACAUUGAAGCCACUUUUCAGUGCAAAGCGUUCGGCUUUCCUCUGCUGCCUCGUGUCACUCAAAUCAAUUCUGGCAUUGUGAUCGUUUUACUGCACAGAAUACAUGUUUGAAUCCUCUCUCCUGUUAGCCCUCAUUCACAUUAAGGUACACGGCUUAUUUUCUGCCUUUUUGCCGGGAUUCCUCAGUGCUCGCAAUGGUGCGAUCUCGGUGGUGACCACCAGGGGGCGACUCCUCUGGUCCUAUAGAAGUCUAUGAGAAAAUGACUACUUCUCUCUUGAUUUACUCCCUCUGUAAAUAUUGUAAACAUGAGUUUAUGGUCUCAAUCUGUAGUUUGUAGUCUUCUUUAAUACAGCGUGAUGUUCAUUUAGUAAAUGAUGGUCCAUUUAGAGGCAGACAGCCCAGAAAGCGGAGGACGCUUCAGGGCGGGGCUACACCAUGACAGUACUUUCACUCUGAAAACCGAAGGCCAAACUUGAGCUUUUUCGAACUGAGCUGAUAUCUUCUGUCGCCAAAUGGAGCCCAGAUUCCUACUUCAUCAAUAAGAACGGAAAUAAAAACUUAAUUCUCCAAUCGGCCCCCGAGAGUUCAACCACACCGAAGAGACGAGAGGACGGAGGCACCGACGCAUCCACGCACACACCCGUCCAUCGAGUGAUUCAAAGUUGUUCCCGUCUCUAACCGGCUGACGGGGGUCCAACGCGUCGCCCUGGGGGGAUAAUUAAGAACCUGCAUCGUCGUGUCUCAAGUGUUUAAUAACACCGACCCACGUGUCCUCCUCUUCAACGGAGGCAUUCUUUCCGCUGUUUUUUUUUUUUAAAGAUCUGACUUGGAUUGGACAAACGGAUUUUGUCCCAAACCUCUCAAAUGGGGUUAGGGGUGGGGGGGUGGGAGGGGACUGUCUUUGUGUCUUUAACACUCAGAACCUCUUGAAUAAUGACAGCAAUGAUAAGCAUUCAGAGAUGACAAAUGGAAGCGUCUGCAUUAUACAUGGCUGCUUUGUUGGGACGAUGUUCAUCCGAGCACUUAAGUCUCUCCGAACCUGAUGAGCUCCUCCUUCAGGUUUCUGCCCCAUUUCCCCCCCACCUCCCCGCCCUCCUCUCCUCCUCUUCUUCUGGAUAUACAUCUGCAGGAAGCAUUAAUGUUUAAACCCGCGUGUUUUGUCUGAGCGGCAGUUUGUUUUGUCAUUAAAAUAUGGAAGAGCGGCUCUCAUUGUUUCGUGUCCGCUUUUUCUGAAAGACAAAUCUGCUAAGUGAAAUCACGGUGAAAUAUUAAUCGGAUGAGUUGAUUUACAUUUAUGUAACACUUUGCAUACGAUAAAUCGAGCUAAAGUGAGCGAGAGCGGUUCUGUCAUGAGGAAGAGAGCCGAGGAAACAAAUCGCACCACAAGCCCUCCAACACAAAGCUGCAGGAACGAGUUCGAAAACAAGAGGACGAGUCAGCAGUUUGUUUACUUCCUGUUUCCGCGUCUUGAAGGCAUUUUUAAAAAUAAGGUUUUGAUGAGAUUUUAACCUUUUUUUUCUAAUAAAUAAAACACGGUUUGUUACUUUCAAUAAUUAUUGUCGCUGUUCAAGAGCAAACAAAGCUUUAAAAUAUGUUAUUUUCUUGAUUUAUUAUAAAAUGAGUAAGUAUUUAAAUCUGUGUUUAAGUUAGUUAAGUUAGUCCACUCCAAAAAACAGCAAAACCAUCUAGUUCCUUAACGCACCACCUUCAUUUUAGUUCCUGAACACACCACCUACAUUUUAGUUCCUUAACAAAUCACCUUAAUUCUAGUUCCUGAACACCACUCUGCCGUGACCUCCUGGGGGCCGCGGGCCUCGUGUUGGGCCCCUGUGCUGGUUUAUCUGUAGCCUGACGGCUCCCAGCGGGAGAAUUCAACAUAAUAGUUUCUUCUGAAUGUAGUUUUGUGAUUUAAAUUGCUAAUUAUAAUGGUGAUGGAACAAAUAAAUAAAACAUGACCUUAGCGUGUUUUUAUCUCUCACUGUAAAAACUCUGGCGGUCAGUAAAUCAGCCGCGGUGGCGUUCCGGCGAUGACUCGUCUGUUGUUGGGUAAAUGCUCCGUAAAUGUCACUCUGGAAAACAACAUUGCAGUGGGUUUAAUGUAUUUAAUGACAUGAACAGUUAUUUACAUUUGUUCCUCUUCUUUUGUGUCCCAUAAUUCCACUUUUCAGGAUCAAUGUUUAUUUUGUAAUUUCCUUUUAUUUGACUUAAAAAUCUCCCUUCAUGAGUUUUAAUGUAAACCAACAAAAGUUUGAAUGUUUCACAUUCCGCAUUUGUCACAAUAACUCAAACUAACAGGUUGAAUGUUUUCGCUUCUUUUUGUCUUCUGUAAGUCAAAAACCAAUAAUCUGUUGACACAUGUGGUAUUUCACUGUCCGACACUAAAAUAGAAAACGCAUCGACAGGAUGUGAAGAGGCUGCGGCCCUCUGGGGGCUGUAGGAACUCAGCACAUACAAUGGAUGCAUGUAAGGACUCCAACAUAAUUUAUUUUCAUCAUGCAACAAAAUGCACUCGCAGCCCGUUUGCUGCACACGAGGAACAUGACGCACAAAAGCUAAAAGCAGUCAUGUGUUCCUGCAGUGCAACGUUAAACAUCUGCAUCAGGAGGAAGAUAAACAGCGGCCCUGAAAGCAGAUGACACGGCCGACUCAAUAAGACCAUGAAUCUUUCACCGACUUCUGUCCCUGAACCUUUUAGAAUUUUUAGAGGCAGCAAACGAUUUGGGAGUUUUAAGAUAAUCUUUGUAAAACAUCCGAUGUUCCCUUCGAUUGUCCCGUAAAACACGUUAAGAGACGUGACGCUCAGUGUGGACUCCUUCCUAAUAUCAUGAUUUGAUAAUGGUUCAAAGGUCGAAGUAGUAGUAGUUCAUAGUACAGAGGUCAUGGUAGUAAUACCUUAUAGUAUGGAGGUAACAGUAUUAAUACCUCAUAGCACGGAGGUAACAGUAUUAAUACCUCAUAGCACGGAGGUAACAGUAGUAAGACCUCAUAGUACGGAGGUAACAGUAGUAAUACCUUAUAGCACGGAGGUAACAGUAGUAAUACCUCAUAGUACGGAGGUAACAGUAGUAAUACCUCAUAGUACGGAGAUAACAGUAGUAAUACCUCAUAGAACGGAGGUAACAGUAGUAAUACCUCAUAGAACGGAGGUAACUGUAGUAAUACCUCAUAGUACGGAGGUAACAGUAGUAAUACCUCAUAGUACGGAGGUAACUGUAGUAAUACCUCAUAGAACGGAGGUAACUGUAGUAAUACCUCAUAGAACGGAGGUAACUGUAGUAAUACCUCAUAGUACGGAGGUAACAGUAGUAAUACCUCAUAGUACGGAGGUAACAGUAG
ensembl:lncRNA